rnacentral:rRNA from 1 species
GGCGGCGUGCCUAAUACAUGCAAGUCGAGCGAACAGACGAGGAGCUUGCUCCUCUGACGUUAGCGGCGGACGGGUGAGUAACACGUGGAUAACCUACCUAUAAGGCUGGGAUAACUUCGGGAAACCGGAGCUAAUACCGGAUAAUAUAUUGAACCGCAUGGUUCAAUAGUGAAAGACGGUUUUGCUGUCACUUAUAGAUGGAUCCGCGCCGCAUUAGCUAGUUGGUAAGGUAACGGCUUACCAAGGCAACGAUGCGUAGCCGACCUGAGAGGGUGAUCGGCCACACUGGAACUGAGACACGGUCCAGACUCCUACGGGAGGCAGCAGUAGGGAAUCUUCCGCAAUGGGCGAAAGCCUGACGGAGCAACGCCGCGUGAGUGAUGAAGGUCUUCGGAUCGUAAAACUCUGUUAUUAGGGAAGAACAAAUGUGUAAGUAACUAUGCACGUCUUGACGGUACCUAAUCAGAAAGCCACGGCUAACUACGUGCCAGCAGCCGCGGUAAUACGUAGGUGGCAAGCGUUAUCCGGAAUUAUUGGGCGUAAAGCGCGCGUAGGCGGUUUUUUAAGUCUGAUGUGAAAGCCCACGGCUCAACCGUGGAGGGUCAUUGGAAACUGGAAAACUUGAGUGCAGAAGAGGAAAGUGGAAUUCCAUGUGUAGCGGUGAAAUGCGCAGAGAUAUGGAGGAACACCAGUGGCGAAGGCGACUUUCUGGUCUGUAACUGACGCUGAUGUGCGAAAGCGUGGGGAUCAAACAGGAUUAG